AGGACGAACGCUGGCGGCGUGCUUAACACAUGCAAGUCGAGCGGUAAGGCCUUUCGGGGUACACGAGCGGCGAACGGGUGAGUAACUCGUGGGUGAUCUGCCCUGCACUUCGGGAUAAGCCUGGGAAACUGGGUCUAAUACCGGAUAUGACCUCCUAUCGCAUGGUGGGUGGUGGAAAGAUUUAUCGGUGCAGGAUGGGCCCGCGGCCUAUCAGCUUGUUGGUGGGGUAAUGGCCUACCAAGGCGACGACGGGUAGCCGACCUGAGAGGGGUGACCGGCCACGACUGGGACUGAGACACGGCCCAGACUCCUACGGGAGCGAG
rnacentral:rRNA from 1 species